GAAAGGCGUAGUCGAUGGGAAACAGGUUAAUAUUCCUGUACUUGGUGUUACUGCGAAGGGGGGACGGAGAAGGCUAUGUUGGCCGGGCGACGGUUGUCCCGGUUUAAGCGWKUAGGCUAGUUUUCCAGGCAAAUCCGGAAAAUCAAGGCUGAGGCGUGAUGACGAGGCACUACGGUGCUGAAGCAACAAAUGCCCUGCUUCCAGGAAAAGCCUCUAAGCAUCAGGUAACAUCAAAUCGUACCCCAAACCGACACAGGUGGUCAGGUAGAGAAUACCAAGGCGCUUGAGAGAACUCGGGUGAAGGAACUAGGCAAAAUGGUGCCGUAACUUCGGGAGAAGGCACGCUGAUAUGUAGGUGAAGUCCCUCGCGGAUGGAGCUGAAAUCAGUCGAAGAUACCAGCUGGCUGCAACUGUUUAUUAAAAACACAGCACUGUGCAAACACGAAAGUGGACGUAUACGGUGUGACGCCUGCCCGGUGCCGGAAGGUUAAUUGAUGGGGUCAGCGCAAGCGAAGCUCUUGAUCGAAGCCCCGGUAAACGGCGGCCGUAACUAUAACGGUCCUAAGGUAGCGAAAUUCCUUGUCGGGUAAGUUCCGACCUGCACGAAUGGCGUAAUGAUGGCCAGGCUGUCUCCACCCGAGACUCAGUGAAAUUGAACUCGCUGUGAAGAUGCAGUGUACCCGCGGCAAGACGGAAAGACCCCGUGAACCUUUACUAUAGCUUGACACUGAACAUUGAGCCUUGAUGUGUAGGAUAGGUGGGAGGCUUUGAAGUGUGGACGCCAGUCUGCAUGGAGCCGACCUUGAAAUACCACCCUUUAAUGUUUGAUGUUCUAACGUUGACCCGUGAUCCGGGUUGCGGACAGUGUCUGGUGGGUAGUUUGACUGGGGCGGUCUCCUCCUAAAGAGUAACGGAGGAGCACGAAGGUUGGCUAAUCCUGGUCGGACAUCAGGAGGUUAGUGCAAUGGCAUAAGCCAGCUUGACUGCGAGCGUGACGGCGCGAGCAGGUGCGAAAGCAGGUCAUAGUGAUCCGGUGGUUCUGAAUGGAAGGGCCAUCGCUCAACGGAUAAAAGGUACUCCGGGGAUAACAGGCUGAUACCGCCCAAGAGUUCAUAUCGACGGCGGUGUUUGGCACCUCGAUGUCGGCUCAUCACAUCCUGGGGCUGAAGUAGGUCCCAAGGGUAUGGCUGUUCGCCAUUUAAAGUGGUACGCGAGCUGGGUUUAGAACGUCGUGAGACAGUUCGGUCCCUAUCUGCCGUGGGCGCUGGAGAAUUGAGGGGGGCUGCUCCUAGUACGAGAGGACCGGAGUGGACGCAUCACUGGUGUUCGGGUUGUCAUGCCAAUGGCACUGCCCGGUAGCUAAAUGCGGAAGAGAUAAGUGCUGAAAGCAUCUAAGCACGAAACUUGCCCCGAGAUGAGUUCUCCCUGACUCCUUGAGAGUCCUGAAGGAACGUUGAAGACGACGACGUUGAUAGGCCGGGUGUGUAAGCGCAGCGAUGCGUUGAGCUAACCGGUACUAAUGAACCGUGAGGCUUAACC
rnacentral:rRNA from 1 species